rnacentral:rRNA from 1 species
AUUGAACGCUGGCGGCAUGCCUUACACAUGCAAGUCGAACGGCAGCACGGGAGCAAUCCUGGUGGCGAGUGGCGAACGGGUGAGUAAUAUAUCGGAACGUGCCCGGUCGUGGGGGAUAACGUAGCGAAAGCUACGCUAAUACCGCAUACGAUCUACGGAUGAAAGCGGGGGAUCGCAAGACCUCGCGCGAUUGGAGCGGCCGAUAUCAGAUUAGGUAGUUGGUGAGGUAAAGGCUCACCAAGCCGACGAUCUGUAGCUGGUCUGAGAGGACGACCAGCCACACUGGGACUGAGACACGGCCCAGACUCCUACGGGAGGCAGCAGUGGGGAAUUUUGGACAAUGGACGCAAGUCUGAUCCAGCCAUUCCGCGUGCAGGAUGAAGGCCCUCGGGUUGUAAACUGCUUUUGUACGGAACGAAAAGGUUUCUAUUAAUACUAGGAGCUCAUGACGGUACCGUAAGAAUAAGCACCGGCUAACUACGUGCCAGCAG